rnacentral:precursor_RNA from 14 species
AAUUCUGGAUUCUAAAAUGACUCUACAUUGUCCUCAUUGUACAUGCUGUGUGUAUCUAUUUCUCUUACACAGCGCAUGCAAUGUGGAUAUAUUGGAUGUCAAAAGCAACUUUAGUGUUU